AUGUAGGGUGGGCACUGAGCAGAGAGAGGCUUUGGUGGUGAACACGCAAGCAGCCUGGCUUCAUGGAUCAUACAGGCCAGUGGAGGGAGAGACGUUACAUGGAUCAUCCCAGAUAACCAUCACAGUUGUGAUAUAGGGUAGCAGUGUGACAGUCCUUGUGCUCCUUCAGAGAAAGGGCUGGCUCUGGAUUAGCCAAAGGGGAGUGGCAAUGAGAGGACCAGAGAAAGUCCCUCAGUGGAGAACCCUGGAAGUGGCAGGUCUCUCAGACCAAAGAAGUCCACAGCAAUUUUGUCACCACCUCAUAUGGCUUUUCAGAGACUUUUCUGGUGACCCCUCAGAGGACAGGAGCUGUAGGAAAUUUAUUACUUCCUUAUUAGCGAUAGCUGUAGCCAUCCUAUUGUCUCAGAAUUUCCAUGCCAUGUAAAUACUGGGGUGAGGGGUGGUGGUAAUGUGCCAGCAGAUGGGGGGCAUUUUGAAAGCUAAAGUGGUGUCAGCUCCCACAGAAGGGCUAAUUUUAAACAUGCAAAUAAUUUUCAGUUCCACUUUUCCUUCUUCCUGUUAGAGGGAAGCUGUACCCUGUUGCCAUUUCGGAGGCUCAAGCAAACAAUGUCGUUAUUAUGCCAGAAACGAUCUACUUCUCCAGGGCAGGAACCGGGUGGUGUUUUUCUGGGGGCCUGUGCCAGGACCCGGCCCACUGUUAUUUCAUGGCUGCUGAGUAAAUAAAUGAGCGAAUAUUAAAAAUUGGCCCUACUAUGGAGUCCAUAACAUAGUGGGUCUAAUCUUUCUUGGAGGUAUAAGACCCUUACAGUGUAUUUGUGAAAGGAAAGGGUCCUCUCCCCAAAGGAAAUACACAUAUAUACAAUUUUGUAUCCAAUUUCAGAGACUCUUUGAAAUAGUCUAUGAAGCCCAGGUUAAAAAAAUCUGGGUUUUAAAGCUGUGUAUAAGGUUAGAGAAGUAUCAAGAAAGUAUCAGGUGAAAAGUAUCAGUCCUUCUCUUCAAAGGUAACCACUGUGGGAUUCAAUCAGUGUCCUUCCAGGAAAAAAAAGAAAAUUUCUAUGUAAUGUACAAUGACAUCUUUUUAAACGUUACAUUGAAAGGACUGUCAUAUACACAUAGGAGCCCUGGUGGUACAGUGGUUAAGUACUUAGCUGCUAACCAAAAGGUCAGCGGUUCGAACCUACCAGCUGCUCUUUGGGAGAAAGAUGUGAUAGUCAGCUUCCAAUGUUACAACCUAGGAAACCCUAUGGGGCAGUUCCACUAUGUCCUGUAGGGUCGCUGGCAGUUGGAAGUGACUGGACGGCAACGGGUAAUAUACAUAUUGCUCUCUACAGCUUUUUCAUUUUCUCAGUUACCUUGGAGAUUGUUUCCUCUCUGUACCUAUAGCUCUGACUCUUUUAAAUAACUCUCUGGUAUUCCGGUAUGUGAAUUGACCAUAAUUUAUUUGCUGUCAUAAAUCUGCUACAGAGGAUGCUUUUGGUGCCUGUUUCGUGGAACCUUCGCAAGAAUAUCCAUAGGGUAAAUUACUAGUCAUGGGAUUGCUGGUUUAGAGGGUACACGCAUUGACAUUUUGAUAGCUACUGUUAAAAGUUGUCCCCCAGAAAUGAUGCUUCGAUUUGUGCACACACCCGCAGAUUUUCAGAGGGCCUGUUUCUCCCUGCCCUCUAAAUUGAGGAUUGUUACAUUUUUAAGUUUCUGGCACUCCGAGAGGUGAAAAAUUGUAUCCUCUUGAGUGAGUUGAGCAUCUUUUCCUAAAUUUGGGCCAUUUGUGUUUUUUCUUUUUUUGGGGGUUAACUCCAAGUUUGUUUCCUUUGUCCAUUCAAUAAUAAUAAUAAAAAAAGAUGUUUUCGUUAUCGAUUUGUACAAGCUCUUUGGAAACUAAGAAAAUUAGUCCUUUGACUCUUAUUUGUGUUACAAAUAUAUUUUUUCCAACUAUUUUAGAUGCAGCUCUUAUUCCUUAGAAGCUCAGAGAUAAAUUAGACCCUUGGGUGGUGUGUAGGUAGAGACUUGCACAGAGAGCCUUAAACCUGGAGCCAGACUGCUUGGUGGGAGUCAUGGCUCCACCACCUGCUAGUUGUGUGACCUUGGGUAGGUGCCUUAACCUUCCUGAUCCUUGGUGUUCACAUCUCCGAAGUGCUCAUAACCGUAAUACCUCUCACAGAGGGUAGCUGGAUAGGUCAAGUGAGAGAGAUCACAUUGCGUUGAAGUCCUUUGUUAAUGGAUGUAGAAAUACAAGCACAACAUUUUACAGAGUGUAUUCCAUUUACUCGAGAGUUAGAUCUUAAAGUUAGGGCAAAAGGCUAUAAUUAUGUGCUUAGCAUUCAUAGUUAUGAAUCAUCUAAACUGCUACAAAAUCUCUUAAAUUGCCCACCAUGGAUUGUGUGUGUGUCCGUAUGUAUGUGUAGAUAUAUACAGAUAAUCCCCGACUUACAACAGGGUUCCGUUCUGACAGUUCAGUCGGAAGUUGGUUCUGACAUAGGGGAGUACCUCAUUUUUUUUUUUUGGUUUUCAUUUUUACUGCCUUUUAUUAUCAGUGUCUUUAUAAAUCAUAGCAAGUGAACAUCUGAGAAUGAUAACAUCUGCAGAUUACGAACUGCAACACUGUGUGUAGUACAUAACACUAAUGAUAAGAUGUACGAAGACAAAAAAAGGUCGUAAGUUUGGUUCGUUGUAACUUGAAUACGUCAUAUGUCGGGGACCACCUGUAUGUAUGUAUGUAUGUAUGUGUGUGUAUAUAUAUAUAUAUAUAUACACACGUAUGUAUUAAAAUGUGUAAUGUGGGCUAGAUAGUAGAUCGGUAUAGAGUUUUCUGAUAGCACGAUUUAAAUUACGUCUUUUUUUAAACCAAGUGUGUGCAAUUGAAAUAAUAUAGGUUGUGUAGCCAGUAUGGUCCUAGCCCUGAAGGAGCAUGUGGGUAUUGACGUCCUUUAAAAAGUGUGUCCUCUUUGGGUUGAGUUGAGCAUUUCUCUUUAUCUUGUGACCUGACCAGCUCUGGCUGUGACCACCUCCUAUCUCUGGGUAAUUUUCUGUGGGGCCAAGAGGAGUUAUUUUUAAGCCUCCAACUGAAAGUUUAAAGACUUAAUCCUUGGCUCUAAUUGUGGGCAAUGGGAGGCUGGGCAAGUCUGCGCUGACUGUGCCACCUAUUUCCACAGCAGCAAGGUGACUCCACAUGGUGAGAAGCUGAGAGGCCACUGCAUUUUUGUGUUGCUGUAUCAUGGAAGUUCUUCCUCCCCCACUGAGAGUGGACCAUGCUGGCGGUCCUGUUUCCCAGGCCAGAAGAUGGAGGCCUGCUGGGAGAUUGUUCUGGGUUUGGAGGGAGAUUGCUGCCCAGUCCUUGGUGCACGGGCAUUGGGGUGAGACAGAUGUGACUCCUCCACCUUCUAGCUGUGUCACCAACUCUCUUAAUGCUCAGAGCCUCACUUGUCCUCAUCUGUAAAAUGGGAACAACAAGAACACCUACCUCAUAAGGUUGUUGUGGAGGAUUAAAUAGAUCUGCAUAACAAGUGGUUAGCAUAAAACAAACCCUCAGCAGAUGUCAUGUCAACAGAUGUUUUGCCAUCUUAUUUUGCAGGUACACUGGCAUAAUAUACUAUUAAAAAAAUAUAUAUAUAUUUUUUUCACUGCCUGGUUUGCAAGGCUCUUUCACAUACAUAAGCUCAUUCAGUCCUCGCGGCAUCCCUGUGAAUUUGUCAUUGUUUUUCCCGUUUAACAGGUGUGGCUCAGAGUGACUGUAAGUGACUUGCCCAAUUCAGGUGUCAUUUGUCUUUUGCAUGAUAAUAAUGUGCAUUUAUAGUGCAGCCCAGUUUAAAAAUUAACCGAGGUUUAGAAUUCGCUUAUGAGAGGUGAAUUGGGCAAGUGAAUCCUCUAAUUUGGCUCAUACAUAGUCAUUAGCUUGAACCGUAUGAAAUGAUUGCCUUUAGUCCUUUGAAUAUCAUUGAUUUUAUAUGGUUCCAACUAAUAUGUUCCAGAAAAUGUACUUUUAAAAUGAAGCUUGAAAAAACCAAACCAUAGACUUAAAUGCUGUAGGGCAGUGUGUUUAAAACCUUGGGUAAUAAAAUUGAAUUAGUGAGUUACGACCAGCAUUAAAAAAUGAUUGAAUAAGAAAUAUUAGAGUCUUGCAUGUAGGAAGGGUAAGUAGACACACACACACACACACACACACACACACACACCUGGGCACACAUGUGUAAUGAAUUGCAUAUGACCUGAAUGUCUUAUCAUAAGUUGAAUCAUUGCCAAAAAAACUGAAAGUCGCUGUUAUAGACUGGCAGUGGUGGGAGGUGCAGGUUGGGGUGGGGGGGUGAAGGUGGAUUCUGUUUCCAGGGAGUGCAAAAAGCCAGUAUGCAAGUCCCCAGGUAUGCAUCAUCAGUGCCCCCAUAUAUUGCUGAAUACCGUCCUGCAGCACGGGACCAGGAAGGACCAAAUCCUGGAGAGCACCUUAGGAAGGGAGUGCGUAGGUCGACUGAAAGCGGAGGAUGCCUGCCUUAACUGCCUGUCUGGAAACGUCAGUGGGAACUGCCAGUAACAUAAGCUGUUGGGCGAUGCACUGUGUUCUUUUGGUCAACAGGUUUGAUAGAGAGGUAAUAUUUAACUGCCUACUGCGUUGCCCACUUUAAAUCAGAACUUACAACCACCUGAGGGAAACUGAGGCUCAGUGAGGCUGUCACCCAUCUGGUGGGGGAUUCAGUCCAGACUUAGUACCUCUAGCUGUGCUGCCCUCAUACCAGCUGUGCUGAUUAUAGGGCCCAUGGCAAUUUGCACAGGACUGAGUGUCCCCUGCCUGGGGGCUUUUAGCCCAGUUGCCUGGAGGAUCCUGACCCUAAGGUCGAUUCAAUUUCCACAUAAGCCAGUUUUUUUUUUCCUUAUAAAAAAGUAGAAAAUACAGAUAGAUAAAAAGAGAAAGCAAAAGUACCUGUAAUCUCCAUUCCCCCAAAGAUAAGUACCGGAGCCAUUUUGAUGGGCGAUCUUUUUCCUUUUUUAGUGCCUGUUUUAUCUGCCUAUCUAUGUAUACUAAAAUAGGAUUACCAACUACAUAUGCUUUGUAAUUUACUUUUUUUUUUAGUAAAUAAUUGGGAUAGAUGUUGUAUCCCUGGGGGUACUCCAGGAAGCCAGAAGAUAAAUAAACAUGAAGCUUCUUCCUGGAGGGCCACUGCUACUCAGUGGAAAGUAUUUGGAAUUAUUUCUUGGAAACAAACAAACAAACAUAGACAUAUUAUGGAUUAGAUACCAAAUUUGCAUUUUCUUCCCCCAGCAAAUUCAGGAGAAAAUAAAUCACUACCCACGCAGACUCUCUGGGAAUGUGAGUUCCGUCUCCCCUGCUAUUCUUAGGGGCAUUUUGGGGCAGUCUGUGAAGUACUGACAAUAUGUUGUAAACAUUUUUCCUUGCCCCUGUGUAGUCUUUCCUUGUAUAACUUUUAGCCGUUGCAUUCCGUCCCUUCAUAUGGAGGCACCAUAAUCUAUUUAAGUAAUCUUGUGAUUAGCUUGCUACUGUAAUUCCAAUUUUUUUUGUCAUGAUAAACACUGUCAAGGUGACUUUGUGCAAAAUUUCUGAACAUAUUUCUGAUGAUUUUCUUAGGGUAAAUUGAGAUAAUAAAAAUAACAGGAGCGGCUACCACAGGUAGAAUAUUUAUUAUGAGCCACUGAUAGCACUUUGUGCACAUUAACUCACGUAAUCCUAUAAUGUAGAUGUGGGGAAGGAAACUGAGGCUCAGGUAGUUGUAGUCUGAUCCAUGGACACAUAUUGUGCUGGAACCUCAACCAGCGAGGUGUAGGCUUCUUUGGAGUAAAGGGGAGCUGGACAGGAGAGUUGACACGGGCUAGGGUAUAUCUGAGUCUCCAAGGAGGAUAGCUGGGCUCAUGGUCUAUUCUCAUAGGUUUUAGAGGUUAUCUUCCCGAGGGAUGGUAACACGUUGACACACUCUGCUCAGAACUGUGACGUGGCAGCAGUGAAAUGCUUUCCAAAGUUUCAAGAGCAGCUUUACCAUGGAUUUUAGACCCUGAAGUUGUGAAGUGGUGGCGGCUGCCUGACCAUUCUUGGCUCCUAGCCACUGCCGUGGCCCUGUUCGAAUGAAUGACAUAAUGGCGUCUCCUUGGGGUCUUGACCUUCCUGUUGUGAAUGAGUUUGGAUUUCCUGAGCUUGAAAUCGGACAUGGAUGACAGGACUUCAGGGCUCGCUAUAAAAGUUCGACUAUGGAAUAAAGCAUGGACAUCUCAAUCAGCAGAAGUGUGGAUCUACAUCCAGGCUCUUCCACCUACAGCUGUGUGACUCUGCUCUCUGCCCAGAACCUGUUACUUCAUUUGUUAAAGGGGUGAUAAUUGCCGGGCCAUGGCAUUGUUAGAGUUAAAUGAAGGAAGGUAUGUAAGGCACCCAGUUCAGAUUAUGGCUGCAUAAAUAGGCCACUUAAAACCAAAAAAACCCAAACCUGUUGCUGUUGAGUUGAUUCCAACUCAUAGCAACCUUAUAGGACGGAAUGGAACUGCCACACGGGGUUUCCAAGGAGUCGCUGGUGGGUUUGAACUGCUGACCUUUUGGUUAACAGCUGAGUUCUUAACCACUGCACCACCAGGGCUCCAAAUAGGCCACUUAGUAGGCCCUUAAAUUCUACUCCCAACUAACCUCUCUUUAUUAACGCAGCGCCUCCCAGCUUUGGGGCUGCAGAGUGAUACAGAGAAUUUGCUGAGGUUGUCAUGUGCUCAAGGUAGGAGGAGAUGCUUUGAGGGCACUAUACAACUUCUGUCAGUCUUGAUGCCAGGGAGUAUCGUAUAGACCAAAAACCAAACCAGUUGCUGUCAAGUCAAUUCUGACUCGUGGUGACCUCAUCUGUGUCAGAGUAGAACCAUGCUCCAUAGGGUUUUCCGUGGCAGAUUUUUUUGGAAGUAGAUUGCCAGGCCUUUUUUGCAAGGUCCCCCUGGGUGGUCUUGAACCUCCAACCUUUCUGUUAACAGAUUAGCAUGUUAACCAUUUGUACCAUCCAGGGACUCUGUUGUUUAGAGUGGCCACCAAAUCCUACUGUAUGAAGAGAAAUUGUUGGGGCCGUGGGAGUGGGAGCUCUUAUUUAAGAUGACAUGGGAUAAGACGCAGACUCUCAGCCUCUAUCUGACCACAGAGUUUGCAACCAGCCUUUUGAUUUCUUUUGGAAGAUGCACACGGGAAACCCCUGGUUAAGAACCACUGCUUUAGGUGAUAACUGUUUUGUAGUCAUUGUAUAGAUUGCCCGUGUCCAGACAGUCAUACUAGAUGGACGGGCUGUCCUUCCAUUCCCAUGUAAUCAGCCCAAUGGUGUCACUAGGAGGGUGCAGGGGUGGGGAUCAUACCAGGUGACAGUGUCAGAGGGGGUGACACCAAAAUAACCGUCCAUAAAAUUUUUAUGCAGUGUUUCAGCAGAAAUUUAUUGUUUUUUAUAAAAAUAUCCCUGUAGUUAUAACAACAAAAACAUUUUUCAUAAGCCCAGCUUACAUGUAUCAAUAUACCUACACAGCUGAAACUCUAUGCUCAUUUACUUUUUGAACUUUCUAACCUAAUGCGCUCUGGUCAGAGCUGUCAUUAUUACCCAGUUACAAUGACUCUUCGAAUCACGCGGUUUCAUCGGCACUUGCUACAAGCACGUGCUGUUGUUUUCGUUGCUGCUAGGAGGACGUCCAUGGGGGUGGGGGGGUGGGUGACACCGUGAGUGACUGCACUGGAUGACAGCAACCCUAGUGACAUCACUGAAUCAACCCCAUGUUGGUAGCUGACUUAGUCCCAGUGAGACCGUGGGUCUGAACUAACAAAAGCAUUUGCAGAUGUGACACAUAAUCCGGGUUGUUGGGUCUCAAAAGGGGGUUCACGUCUGCCCCGGUUGUUCAGUACUUUUGAGGGAUCCUGUGGUAGAGUAGGCUUUAGUCUGGGACGGUUCUAUUUUCUCAGCCUCAUUUUUCUCCUCUGUAAAAUGGGAAUACCUUAUUUUCCCACCCUGCCUGGGGAGGGAAAGGAAGCUUGGGGUGUUAAUGUGAUAUGUGUGGUGCUAGGCUCCGCUGCAGGGGAUGUGAAGUUGAAGGAAGGAAAGACUCAUGGUUUAUUAGGAGCUAUGAGGCCAAAUGUGCCAAGUUCCACACAAGAGGUAGGCCUGGUGUCUGGAGAUCCUGUUACAAUGAGAUUCACUGCCAAGUUUCCCCUCCCAGCAGCUCUGAGCAAUUUUCAGCAUGUAGUGUGUUCAGAGGCCCCGAGGCAUGAAAGUAGAGAUGGUGCCUUCAGAGCCCUGGACAGUGAGACCAGCGGGAAUGAAGCCAGUGGAGAAACCCACUCAGAUCGUACUGCCAGCCAGCGGGGACGUAGCAUUGGCUUUCUGAAAAUUAGCAUUCAUACAACUUUUCAGGAAUACAUCAUUUUGUGAAGCCAGAGGUCCCAGCUCAGUGUUUGUGAGACCAGGUCGGGACAUUGUCAUGUGGGGGCUUGAUGUUUUAUCCAGAUUCCAGCAGGUUGUUCCAAGCUGUGCCCUGCACCUUCAUAACAUCAUGGAAACAUGAUCAGUACCUAGAGCUGCAUGCAGUUGUGUGCCAGGCUGUUUUCUAUCCUUAAAAUCACCACCUCCAUUUUACAUAUGAGGCACAGAGGGGGAUAGAGACUUGCCCAGAGCCGGGAUGUGGCUGUCCUGAUAGACUUGAGUUCUAAUCUUGCCCCUAUUGCUGUGAUGAUCUGCAAUUUCCAACCAACCAACCUGCUGCCAUUGAGUUGAUGCUGACUCAUGGCAACCCCAUGUGUUACAGAGUAGAACUGCUCCAUAGGGUUUUCUUGGCUGUGAUUUUUAUGGAAGGAGGUCACCAGGUGUUUCUUCUGUGGCACCGCUGGUGGCAUUCAAACCACCAACCUUUAGGUUAGCAGUGGUGAUGGUGUUGGGUGCCCUUGAGUCAAUUCUGACUCAUUGCACCGCUAUAGGACACAGUAGAACUGCCCCAUAGGUAUUCCUAGGCUGUAAUCUUUACAGGAGCAGAUUGCCAGGUGUCUUUCCAGGUAGUUCGAACUGAUUUGUUCCGAUUCAAGCCACUUCUGAGAAUUUGCAUUUCUCACAAGUUCCCAGAUUAUGCUAAUGCUGCUGGUUAGGGACCAAAUUCUGAGAACCACUAGUAAAGCCAAAGCCAAAAACAAACCCAUUGCCGUUGAAUUGAUUACAACUCAUUGCAACCCUAUAGGAUAGAGUAGAACUGCCCCAUAGGGUUUGCAAGGAGCAGUGGGUAGAUUUGAACUGCGACCUUUUGGUUAGCAGCCUGAGCUCUUAACCACUGUGCCACCAGGGCUCCACUAGUACAGCAGUGGUUCUCAGAUUUAUUAUACGUAAGAAUCACCGAGGGAUUGUGUUAAAAUGUAGAUUCUGAUUCAGUAUAUCUGGGGUGGAAAGGCAAAGUCUCAGCAGGAGUUUGAACCUGAACGAACCAGUUUGAAACCCUUCUUUUCUCCUUCAGAGCUGCUGCUGGGUUCAAAUCGCCAACCUUUCAGUUAGCAGCAGAGCGCUUAACCGUUGUACCACCAGGGCGCCCUUCAGGUUAUGUAGUAGUUGAGUACAAACCAUAUGCACACCAGGGCUCCUUAUCAGCAACUUAGUAGCUUUCCAAGUCUGGGUUUUCUCAUGUGCUUAAUAGGAAUAAUAAACACCUCAGAGGGUUGUGAUCAAGAGUCUGUGGAAUAAUAUAUGGGAAGCCCCCAGCACGGUGCACAAACAGUGCUCCACAAAUGCCUGGUGCUGUCAUUGUUGUUAUUGUUUCUCUCAGCAGUGAGAGCAGAGGACACGUGCUUUUCAUGAGCUUUUCCAGGAACAGAGAUUGGUUUGCCUUGAUCCAGGUGUACAGUCUGUCUCCGGCCCUGUUUAGUAAAUGUUUGGGGUACAACUGCCUAGGAGGAAGGGAUGUUAGCUGGAGAAGACCCGAAGUCUAAGAUUCAGAAAAUAAAGCAAAACCUGCCCACAGGGAUGGAAUGUGUGAUCUCAUGGUCUGAUGGCCUGGACCAGCUGAGGUCAUUGCCGUGUAACUCGGUAGUUAAUCAUUGUUCAUAGGAAGAUAAAUAUAGGAUCAUUGCCUCAGAAAAGUCACAGUUAGAAAGGACCUUAGGGACGUGAGGCCAGGGAAGAUAAUGGGUUCCAGUUUGCAUCCAGCUUCAGGCUGCUUGGCCCACACAUAGAAGGGAUUCUCAGAUCGCUUGAGACAUCCUGGUUCAGCAGGAGAGAGUUCCGGGAUCAAUUAGUGAUGCCUGCCAUGGCAACAAGUAAGGCAAGAGGUGACAUACAUGCUGUUCAUUUGCUGUCUUUGAUUUCAGAGGGCACUGAGGCCUAAGAAUUGCCCGAUGGAAGGUCACCCAGCAAGUCAUAAGAUUACAAAAAUCUGUCUUGGAAGACAUCUCUUAAGGGUGUCUGAUGCUUGGAUUUCAUGUCUGAGAAAAUAGUUUUUGCUUGCCCAUCUUCGGCUAGGAGGAACCCACUAUCUCAAAAGGAGUGGAUUCCAUCUUUGGGCAACUCUCCCAAUUAUUACUUCCAUCUUGGACUGGUGGAGGCGUUAGAGGCCUCUCUGGGUAAAAAAAAAUCUCUGGGUAGGUUCUUCUAAUUCAUGGCUGCACCUGAGGAAAUUAAAAAAAAAAAAACCAAAAAACAAAACUGGUUCAGGGCCUCCACCCCAGAUCAAUGGAACCUGAAUAUCCAGGUAGGUGGCACACCCCAUCCUUGGCAUUGGUAUUUUUUCAAACUUCUCCUGUGGUGCUAAAAGGUAGCAGCUAAUAGGUUGAGAAGCACUGAGGCCAACCUUCCUUUUCCGGAAAUGGAGUCUCAGAAAGAGAGCAUGAUUUUCCAGGGUUUUGUAGACAGUGGCACAAGGGGAAGGAAAACUAGGAAAAAAGAACCGUUUAUCAAGUGCCAACCAUAUACCAGGCUCUUUUACUUUCCUGCCAAGACACUUCUUAUCCCACAAAUGAGUCGUGUCAUUCCCCUGCCUAAAACCCCCUGUGGCCUCAUCCUGCAUUUAGUAUAAACCCUAGCUGUGGCCUGCCUGCAAGGCCCUGAUCCUCAGAUUAGAUAAUCUGACACCUCGCUCCCCUCCAACCUCAGGACCUGUGUCCUCACCCAGCUCUCCCUUGGGUCCUGGCACUUGCUGCGGAGGUUCAACCCCACAUCCUUCUGGCUCCUCCUUAUUCCUUAGCCCUUAACUCCAGUGUCCUGCCCUUUCCCAGACCCUUCUCUCCCAUGAUCCUGCUUCACUCCCUGCAGUCUUUAUCACAAUCUGAAACUUAUUUGUUCACUCAUAUCUGUCUGUCUCCCUGCUCCCUGGGUUUUGAGCUUCAGGAGGCCAGGGACCUUGUCUGUCUGGUUCUCUGCUCCAUCCCUUGAGCCUAGAACAGAACCUGGUUCAAAAAGAUGUUUGCUGAAUGAAUGAAUUGAAAGAACAGUCCUGACAGAGCUGGUAUUAUCCCCAUUACGGUUGACUGAAAUCUGGUUUACUGCCUUUCCGCACCAUCAAACCAAUUGCCGUUGAGUCGAUUCCAACUUAUGGAGACCUCAUGUGUAUCAGAGUAGAACUGUGCUCCAUGACUGAUUUUUCAGAAGUAGAUCUCUAGGCCUUUCUUUCGAGGUGCCUCUGCAUAGACUUGAGCCUCUAAGCUUUCGGUUAGCAGCUCAGUGCUUUAACUGCAUCACCCAGGGAUUCCAUUUCAUUUCCAAUUAUCGUUUAAUAUUCUUACUUUUUGCACUGACAAGCCUAAAUAUAUGCCUGUGAGUAUGUGUGUGUUUGACGGGGGAUUAAAGUCAUCCUUGAGGGUGAGGUUUAGUGUUCUCUAGCAAAAGGAGCACAGACUUUAGUCCUUUAGACUUGGGUUUGAAUCCCAGCACUGCCUCUUACGAGCUGUGUGAUUUUGGGAAGCCCCUGAACAUCUCUGAGGCUCAGUUUUUCUUGACUGCUUGAAAUGGACCUCCAUAAUAAUGACUAGCUGACAUUGAUUAAAUGCUUUCUAUGUGCCAGACACUGUGCUAAAUGCUUCAUGUGUAUUGACUGAGCAAAUCGUCACGACAACCAUCAUUUUACAGGAGAGGAAAAUAAGGUACAGAGAGGUUAGGCAACCUACCUGAGGUCACACAGCUAAUCAGUAGAGGAGCCAAGUUUGCUUGGUUCCAGAGUUAAGGCAUCAGGAAAUUAUGAAGUCAUGCCCAAAAGGCCCCAGAAGAGGCGGUGGUGCAGACACACUCAAUGCGUUCCUUUCCCCUCCCCCUUUGACCUUUACUCUCAUAGUAACCUUUGAGUUUUCUAACUGUUUUGUUCUCAAGUUGGUGACAAAGUACUGAUUUCCUGUCUGCUGGAGGUACUCACUUCCAAACACGGUUUCUGUUGACAAGACCUCAGUGAUCGAGCUUCAUGGGGGCCCUGAGGGCUGGGCAGGUGUGUCAGGCCCUGGCCCUCAGGGAGUGUGGGCCGAUGAAUACAUUUUCCCAUUAAAAAAAAAUUCUGCCUAAGAUACUUAUUGAGUGCUUACUUUGUGCCAGGCAUUGCAACUAUGACCAGUAAAAAAAUUAAUUUGCGGCCCUAUCAUCCAAACUUCCCAACAGUUCAUUUUUCUGUGACCAUCACCUGGGCAUUUUUCUGGGUUGCAAUCAUAUUUAUUGGGGAUGUAAAUUUGUGCCUGUGUCACAGGCCUGGGGUGGCUGUCAUCUUGCUGAGGCUUUUUCUGGGAAACUUUGCCCCGUUUUAAUAAACGGAAGAGUGAGCAGCCAGUGUCCCACUUCAAAUGGCUGCUUUAUCUCAGGACAGGCAGGCCUCAGUGUUCACGUGAGCCUGAGCAGCUUAAAAAUAAGUCUGGUUGUUUAUUUAAAUUCAUUUUUUCCUGAUUAUAUAAGAGUGGUAUAACAACAUUAAAAGAAAUUUUGAAAAUAAAGAAGGAAAAAAGAAAAGCCGCUUAUCACCCUGAAUCACAUUAUAAAAAACCACACCCGUUGCCAUGGAGUGGAUUCUGACUGAUAGCAACCAUCACAUUAUAACUCGGGUUUAUUCUAGGUGGCUUCUUAUUUAAAAUACAGUGAAACCUGUGAGAGCUGAACUUGAUGAGUCUGCAUUGUUUUUCUGGAUCUUUCAAGUUUUCCACCUUUGACGGGGUCUAGUUACGCCACUUUUCUAUCGCUCGUUUUACUGGAAAAUAUUUGAGUUUUCCUUCUCUGACAGCCUUACACAGUUUCCGGCUUUUGCAGGUUUUACUGUAAUUGUAGUCAUGGAGCUGGGACAGUUUCAGAUCCUUUUAUGCCAAAAGGCUAAAUGAAGCAAACAUUUUUUCCGUGGUGAUACAUGGAUGAUAUAACCAUAAUUUUUAAUAGCUGCAGAGUACUUCAUGGAGUGAAUUCUCUGUAAUUCACUUAACCUUUCCAUGUUUGGAGCCCUGGUGAUGUAGGGGUAAGAGCUCGGCUGCCAACCAAAAGGUCGGCAGUUCAAAUCUACCAGCUGCUACUUGGAAGCCCUAUAGGGCAGUUCUACUCCAUUUUUUAGGGUCACUGUGAGUCAGAAUCUACUCCAGAGUUGUUUUUUUCCCCCUUCUUUAGAGAUUUAAGCCCCACAUGUCUGUCAGUUUGUCGUACUGUGGUGGCUUGUGUGUUGCUGUGAUGCUUGAAGCUAUGCCACUGGUAUUUCAAAUACCAGCAGGGUCACCCAUGGCGGACAGGUUUCAGCUGAGCUUUCAGACUAAUGCACACUAGGAAGAAGGACCUGGCAGUCCACUUCUGAAAAACUAGUCAGUGAAAAGCUUAUGAAUAGCAUUAAGCAUAACAAUAAUUGUGAGGAUGGCUCAGGAUCAGGUAGUGUUUGGUUCAGUCGCUAUGAGUCAGAACCGACUUGAUGGCCCCUGUCAACAACGAGAAGCAGUGGCCAGUUUUGCACCCUUGGAAGUAGCGUGUGUGUGUGGGGCGGGACAUCUUCACACACAUAGCAUUUGCCAUUAAACAAAAUUACUUCUUCAGGAUUAAUUUCCAGACAUCUUUAUAAUCUCUGACACUGCCUGCCAAAUGACUUUCCAAAAGGGGCACAUUGUUUACAUUGCCAUUAGAAUGUAUGAGACUGCCUGUUUCAUUACGCCCACGCCAGCACUGGGUGUUAUUUUUUAAAAACAGAAUUUAAAUUUAAUAUUUGCAUUUGCAGACAUGCCAGCUGAGCUGUGUGGUGGCUGCCUUGCACAAUUUUUUGACCGUAGGUGACUCAUGUAGAACCUGUUCUGUGUGAUACUUAAAAAAAAAUUUUUUUUUUUGCAUACUUAGGGAAAGUAUUAAGUCACUGUCUGUGUUUUGUACUGUAGUCUGCCCUUGACUUUUGGUACCUAGAGGAUUUCUAACUGCAGCCGGAGACUAGCUGGGCCUAGUUGCAUCUUACCUGGCUGCAAAGAUAAUUGGCUACAUUCAUUUUAGAGCUAAUUUUAGGGGUGUAUGCUCUCCAUUGUGGGUACUGUCCUAUCUAGCUUUAAGCCCAAAUUAUGUGAUUGCUGAUAAACAGUGCAGAAGGAAAUAUUACUGAGCAGGUACUAGAUAUCUAGACCUUCCUGGUGAUAUCUCAAGAGAGGCAGCAUGUGCUAGCAUGAUGGGAAGAGAAUGUUGAGUUCAAAUGCAAGCCUCAUUCCUUGCACGGUUGACCUUGAUCAAGUUCCUCUCCUCCCCCAGCCCUCCUCCACCAUCCACCUUAGUUUCUCCAUCUGUAAAUUAGGCUGAUAGUACCUAGCGAGAAGGCUGAUAUCAGGAUUAAUGGUAUCAGGUAAUCAAGGAUUUAGAUAGCUCACAGGAAAUCAUGCCUGUUGUUGGUAUUGCCAUAACACUGGCCUGAAGGGUGGGGGUAGAAGAGGAAGGAAACAGGCAGGUCCAGAUCCUUCUCCUUUAGGAGCUUCCCGUCUAGUUGAAGAGAGAGGAUGGUCUGGAUGGAGAUAGUUUUAAGUCAGGGUUAACAGUCAGGAGUUGAGAUAGGAGUAAAGCCAAGUGAGUAACCAUUGUCGAUGUUUAGAGGUGAACGUUGGGAGCCCAGGACCGCAAAGGAAAGGGGCUCAUUCCGGGUACCGCGAGGGUCACACCUGGCGGAUGCAGAGUGUUUGUGGCAAGGUGGACUGGGGUCAGACUCCCAGGCCUCAAAUUCUACACAGUUUUGACUCUUAUUGUAGAGAAGGAGGCAUCAUGGGAGGAUUUUUUUUUCCAGGUUGUAAAUAUUCAUCGUUUUAUUUUUGUUAUGUUUAUUUUGAUGGCAAUUAAAAAAAAAACAGCUUUAUUGAGAUAUAAUCCAAAUACAUAUAAUUCAACAUUUUAAAUGUACAAUUCAGUGGUUUUUAGUGUGUUCAGAGUUGUGCAACCAUCGCCACUAACUAAUUCCAGACGUUUUCAUUACGCCGAAAAGCAGCAUACUCACUAGCAGUAACUCCCGAUUUCCCUCUCGCUUCUGCCCUUGGCAACCACCAAUUUUGCUCUCUGUCUCUAUGAAUUUGCCUGUUCUGGACAUUUCGUAUAAAUCAUAUCGUGUAAUACGUAGCCUUUAGUGUCUGCCUUCUGUGACUGAGCAUAAUGUUUUCAGGGUUCAUCCAUGUUGUAGCAUGUAUCAGUAUGUUAUUUCUUUUAUGGUUGAAUAAUAUUCCAUUAAGGAGCCCUGCUUCCCACCCGUCAUCUCCUUUUAUUGCAUUUGCAUCAAAUAGACAAAGCAACCCAGAAACCAGAUGAACUUGGCAAAACUGGGAAAAUGAAUUUGGAAGGUAGGUUGGGGAAGAAAAAUAGUAGGGCUCCUUCUGUAAUAAAACUUGCUAAUGUUCUGGUAAAAGUGAUGUUGAAAGUCAUUGUCUUACUCCUCCUCCUCUGAGAUAAGUCACACAAGGGGUGGUAUCAGGGGCACAGAAUUCCCCCCGGAGGACACAGUGUGACAAACUUUGCGUGAGCUGGUCUGUUAAAAGAAAAACAAGAAGUGAUGUGUUGGAAACAACCUAAAUGUUAAGCAAUCCAGUAUUGUUGAAAUUAUGGAUAUUUACGCAGCCAUUAGAAAAGCUUAGAAAGCAUGUUUAAUGAUAUGGGAAGAUGCUCACAAUAUAAGAAAUUUAAAGACGUGGGCUAUAAAAUAAUAUACAGUAGAAAUAACAAUUGGGGCGAUAAAACAAUCAAACAGAUCUCAAACUCAAAAAAAUGUGUUUGGUGUGGGUCUGUGUGAGUGCACAGGAGCCCCAGUGGCGCAGUGGUUAAGUGUUUGGCUGCUAACUGAAAGGGUGGAGGUUCGAAUACACCAGCUGCUCCAGGAAAGAUGUAGCAGUCUGCUUUCUUAAAGAUUUACAGCCUUGGAAGUCCUAUGGGGCAGUUCUACUCUGUCCUAUAGGGUUGCGAUGAGUUAGAAUGGACUGGAUGUGAGAGACUUUUUUUUAAAAUGUAGGUGCACUACAGAGUGUUGGUUUAAAGCAAGUUAGACAGACCUAGAACAAGUCUGGGCUCUGUAACAUACUUGCUAUGUGCCCUUAGGCAAGUCACUACACCUUUCCGAGCUCAGGCAUCUCAUCUGUAAAAUGGAACUGAUAUUCUACCUCUUUGGGUUGUUGUGAGAAUUAAAAGAGUUAUCUGGGCCUUCAGGGAAAGGGCUCCAUGCCUACAGUUUUGGGCUACCAUGUGAGGUCCAUGUUAUCUUUUGCUCCAGGCCUUUCAGGGGCUCCUCAGUGCCUUCUGGAUAUUGUUAAGUUCUUUGGGUUGGCAUAAUAUCUGUUGCUGUUGAAUCAUUCCUGACUGAUGGCGACCUCAUGUAUGUCAGAGUAGAACUGUGCUCUAUGGGGUUUUCAAUGGCUGUUCACCAGGCCUGUCUUCCAGGGUACCUCUGGGUGGACUUAAAACCUCCAACCUUUCAGUUAGCACCAUCAGGGACUUCUCUUGUGGAGGCACACAGGGCAGUAUUUCUGGACACACAUUCAGGGGCUUGCCAUACCAGAUUUCUUGCAGUUUCUCCAGUGUGCCGUGCCCUUUUUGGCCACCAGGUGCUUGCACAUGCUGAAGUAGCUUUUUUUUUUUCUUUUUUUGUCUCCCUAGCUUUUUUUUUUUUUUUAGCUAGACUGAGUGCCCCAAAGGUACCAUGUCACAGGGUCUGGCACCUAGUAGGUAACCAUUUGUUUAAUGAACUGAAGAGGUAGGACUUGAGUUGGUUUGUUAAAUAAAAAGUGGGACUUGGUGAACAAAGUGGGAACAUUGUCCCAAGCGGUGGGCAGGACAAAGGGCACUGGUGGUCACUGCAUGUUUAGGGUCCAGACCCGCUGGGCACAGGCAGAGAUCAACACUGGUACAACCUGCCUUACAGCGUUCAUUGCCACGUGGAAGUUUGUUCCGUUUUGUAGCUUGGGGCUGUGUAUGCCUGUUUAUAUGAGAGAUCUAUUCAGACUAAGCCUGUGCAGUAACCGAUGUAGCUAAGGCUGCUAGCAUUGUGCUGAUGGUAAGAUGAGAGCUGGCCUUGGAGACAGAGGCAGCCUGCAUUCUGUUUCUGGCCUUACUACUUAUUAGCUUGGUGCUCUUAAGUGGGGUGACUUGAGGAAGUAAACGAAUACUUGUCAGACAUCCAGAAUGUUCUAAGUGCUUUUAUGCAUGUCAUUCUCAUUGAAUUCUUAUAGCAGGGGUGCACUCAGAAGUCUAUGGCCAGGAAGUUACCUAGUGAUAGACCACAGAUGUGUGACCUGUGUUUAUAAGGCAGUAGGGAGUGGUGGGAACUCUGGCAGGCCUGAGAAGCCAUGCCCUUUCUGAAGGGGAGCACCUCCUGCCUUUUUUUUUUUUUAAUUAUCACAUGUACUCACUGUUCUGUGUGCUUUAUGAACGUUAACUUGUUUAAUCUUCACAACAGCUUGAUGAGGUAGCUAUGAGUUUUUAUCCUCCUUUGAGAGUUGAAGGAUCUGAGGCACAGAGGGGUGAAGUAACUUGUGCAAGGCCACAUGACUAGUUAGUGUUGGAGCUGGAAUUUAAACAGCUAGGGGACUUGGCGUUGUCAGUUAUUCUGAUUUUUUUUUUAAAGAAAAUCUCCUGGUUUUAAAAAAUAUUGCCACAGAUUCAUCAAACAAAACCCUGUUGGGGCCAGAUGACACCCAUGUUCAUGGAAGACUGGGUGUGGCUCUCACAGGACCCGGUGGAGUCCUGAUACCUGCCCUUCCUGUCUCAGAAGUAGUCAAAAUGAUACAGGGAAGUAAUGUUCAUGAAAAUAUUUUGUCACCUGUAAAGAGCAAUGUAAAUGUCAGAUAUAGGGUUAGUAAUAGUAGCUAGUAUGUCUAUUGAGUGCUUGUGGGGGCAGUGGUGGUUCAGUGAUAGAAUUGUUCCCUUCAUGUGGGAAACCCAGGUUUGAUUCCCGGCCAGUGGACUUCAUGCAUGGCUACCACUUGUCUGUCAGUGAAGGUUUGGGUGUUGCUAUGGUGCUGAGCAGGCUUCAGUGGGGAGUGUAGACCAAGACCAAGAAGAAAGGUCUGGCGAUCCACUUCUAAAAAUUAGCCAAUGAAAACCCUAUAGAUCACAACAGUCCAGCCUGCAACUGAUCAUGGAGAUGGUGCAACACUGGGCAGCGUUUCUUUCCACUGUGCAUGGGGUCACCAUGAGUUGGGGGCCAACUCCAUUGCAGCUAGCAACAUACUGAAUGCUUACCAUGUGCCAAAGCCCUGUUCUAAGCACUUCAGUUUUCAUGACUGCCCUCUAAUGUUGAGGUAUUGCUCUCCUCUUCAUAGAUGAGGAAACUAAGGCAAAGAGAGGAGGUCAAAUACCUUGUCUCAGGUUGCACAGCUGGGAAGCAGUGGAGGCAGGAUUAGAACCCAAGCAGUGGGCUUUUAUCCACUCUGCUUAUUGCCUUUGUGUAGACCAAACUGUGUGAAGAAUUACCAGGGAAUGGGAAGGGAAUGAAUAUCUCUUAAGUCCUGACUGGUGCCAGGCACCAUGCUAGGCAUUUUCUCUCACAUUAUUUCAUUUAACCCACAUGAUAAUCCUGACACCAUCCUGGGGUCUUUCUGUUAAAGAGGUGGAAACAGACUCAGAGAGGUUAAGUGACUUGCCAAGAUCACAGGGGAAGGGAGUGGCAAAGUGAGGAUUUGAACUUGAGACUGAGAGUGCAACCAGCCCGAUGCCUUCAAGUCUAUUCUGACUCAUGGUAACCCAUUAUGUGUCAGAGUAGAACUGUGCUUCACGGAGUUUUCAAUGGCAGAUUUUUCGGAAGUAGAUCUCCAGUCCUUUCUUCUGAGUGCCUCUGGUUGGACUCAAAUCGACAACCUUUUUGUUACCAGCUGAGAGUGUUAACUGUUUGCACCACCCAUAGUAAUUUUUCUUCCAAGUAGGGAGGUAGUAAUCAAGUGAUUUUCAUUUUUUUAAAUAUCUGCAUAAGGAAAGAGAACUGAAAAGGGCAGUGAGGAAAAUUUAGUCAGCUCUGUUGAAGCGACCGAGAACAAUAGUAGUUUCCGUUUGUGCAUAUUUAGAGUGGCUCCUUGGCGGCCACAUGAGUCUAGGUCUGAAAUACUUGGGGCAUGAGUGAGGGAAGCAUUGAAGUGGAAAUUCCUGGAGUGAGUGGGGUGCUAGCCAUGGCCCCAGUGUUACUCUCAUUUCUUUUUUGUGAAUGCUUUGCUAGUAAUAGCCUUGCAGAUCAGCUUGCUGUAAUCCACACCCUGUCCCUACAUGGUGCUAAUUGCAUUAAGCCACAGCCCCAAGGUGGUGUUUUCAAAGUUGAUAGUGUGAGGGCCUGUUAGAAGGUCUUGCACCAUAUUUGAGCCAACCAAAUUGUUGACUGCCAUUCAUGUUCGUUCAUGGUGUCCCUGAAAACCUGCUCUAUGCCAAGCUCUGUGCUAAGCACCAGGGGUAUAAAAAUGGCAGACAGUGUCCUGUAGUAAGGAACUCGCAAUCUAGUGAGGGACAGGAGGACCCCUACUCUGCCUGUUACACAGCAGAUAUAACCUUUGAGGAAGGAUGUCCCAGGCGGUGAGAACAUGGGCAGGCACAUGGAGGCAGGAAGGGAAAAGAUGCAUGGGGGAGGGGCACAGGGACAAGGGCCCUUCAGCCCGUGUGAGCUCCUUGAGAGAGGGCUCCUGGGUCUCAUCCGUCUUUGUGUCCCUGUGCCUAGCACAGGACCCGCACACAGGGGCUGCUGGGUAAAUGUUUUUUGAGAGAAUGGAUUUCAAGUUUACGUUCAAUAUGCUAAGCCCCAUGGACAGAAAGUAAAAGACAAGUGAUAUUAAACUCCAUUUGGGCCCACUGCCCUCUUCACCUUCAAGCCUCUUUAAUUUCUUACUUUCAAAUGCAAGGAAUAGGUACCUAGAACUAGGGGGACCAUGAAUCUGGUGGCUGUGAAGGUCCAUAUUGGGUGUGGACAGCAGACCUGGUGAUACUUGACAACCAUUUCACAAAUGAGAGAGUGGGCUUCAGGACUCUGGGGGAGAUGAGGCAGCAUGGGGCCCUCUGCUUCCUGGAAGUGUUUCCCGGAAGUGCCCAGUAAACACUUACCAGUCAUUUCCUGCAUGGUGAAGCCCGUGCUGUGUCUUAGAGCCCUAGUUCAGGUGGGGUGGUGUGGCUGGAUGCUGGCAUUUGGUGGCUCUUGGCCCCAUUCGGAUAGUGAAACAAAGGGGCCCUCCUGCCUGCCUGGCCUCUGGGAGAUGGGGUGGCGGUACCAAUCUGUGGAGGUGGUAGUGAGCGCAGUGAGGGGAACCUGUUACCUGGUGGUCUCUUGGUUUAGUGAGCUAAACAGAAACAUGGGACACCCCCUGUGGAUACUGGGGGCCUGACUCGGACAUGGACACAGAUUACUCUGCCCCUAUGCUCCUUCCAAAGAAAUGCCACCCUUCCUGGAGGUAGAGGGGACCUUCCCUGGCCCCAGUCUCUAGGAUCUUUGCUGUGGCUGGCCAGACAGCUGGGAUUCGGCUUUGCUAAAGUUGGGUUGAACAAGUGGGUUCUAGAAUGUGUAAGGGCAACCAGAGUGUCUGUCCAGACUGAGUUGCUGUUUAGGUCUGACAGAUCCAUCUGAUUUUAAAUGCACUGUUUUCCAAAGUUAAUAGGUGGUGGUGUGAAAGGGGCUGGCGUGAAGAGUGGCGAUGCUCUUAGUUCCUUUGAUGUUAUGGGAAGGUCUCUUGUCUUCUCCCUUUCAUUUGCAGUGGCCCUCUUUCCUUCUUAGGAUCAUUUAGAGUUCCUUGGUAUCAUGGAUUGAAUUUUGUACCCCCAAAAUAUGUGUCAACUUGGUUAGGCCAUGGUUCCCAGUAUUGUAUGAUAGUCCUCCAUUUUGUGAUUUUCCUAUGUGUUAUAAAUCAUAAUGUCUGCCUGUGGUUAAAGAGGAUUAGGGAGGAAUAUAACACCCUUGCUCAGGUCACAUCCCUGAUCCAAUGGAAAGGGAGUUUCCCUCGAGUGUGGCCUGCACCACCUUUUAUCUUACUAGAGAUGAAAGGGAAGCAAGCAGAGUUGGGAACCUCAUACCACCAAGAAAGAAGCACUGGGAGCACAUCCUUUGGACCCGGGGUUCCUGCACAGGGAAAGAGUGAUGACAAGGACCUUUCUCCAGAGACAGAGAAAACCUUCCCUUGGAUUUGACACCCUGAAUUUGGACUUCUAGCCGAAUAGACUUUAAGAGAAUAAACUUCUAUUUGUUGAAGCUGUCCACUUGUGGUAUUUCUGUUACAGCAGUACUAGAUGACUAAGACACCUGGGGUCAUGUGAACACUUGUGGGUCUAUCCCCUAUUCUGUAGGGGAACAAGGUGAGGGAUGUUAUGGUCAAGUAAGUUUGAAAAGCUUUGGGCUAAACAAAAUCAAACACAUCUUUCCUGUAGGACCUUUAGUGUGCUUAUGAUUCUUCAAGAGGAAGGGGGAUAUAAAAUUCUUAUUUUCCCCAGAGAGCCCUGGUGGCUCAGUGGUUAAGCAAUUGGCUGCUAACCAAAAGGUUGGCAGUUUGAAUCUACCAGCUGCUCCUUGGAAACCCGAUGGGGCAGUUCUACUCUGUUCUCUAGGGUCUCUACGAGUUGGAACCGACUUGAUGGCAGCAGGGUUUUUUUUUGUGUAUUUUCCCCAGAUUUCUGUCUUACGUUGUAUCUGCCUGUCUUUCUUUCUUUUAGAAGUACCUCAUGAGACUAGUGUUUUCUGGAAUCUGCUGUAGGAAGUUAAUUUAUUCAUUUAUUCAACAAAGUGUUUAUUGAAUACCUACUGUGUACCAGUCACUGUUGUAGGUACUUGGGAUACAUCAGCCACCAAUUCAGACCAAGAUCCCUGCCCUGGAGAAACUUACAUUCUAGUGGAACCAGUGAACACUGUUAUGGGUUCAACAAUGUCCCCCCAAAAUAUGUGUUGUAAAUCCUAACCUCUGUGCCUGUGGUUAUAAUACCAUUUGAGAAUGGGUCGUCUUUGCUAUGUUAAUGAGGCAGGAUUAGCAUGGGGUGUAUCUUGAGUCAAUCUCUUUUGAGAUAUAAAAGAGAUUAAACAAGCAAGCAGAGGAGAGAUGGGGUAAGAUAGAUGCCAAGACACAUGGAGAUAGAUCUCCAAGGAACCAGAAAGCAGGAGCUGAAGAGACAGGGACCUUCCUCUGGAGCCAACAGAGAGAGAAAGCCUUCCUGGCACCCUGAAUUUAGACUUUUAGCCUCUUAAAAUAUGAGAAAAUAAAUUUCUGCUUGUUAAAGCCAUUCACUAGUGGUAUUUCUGUUAUAGAAGCACUGGAUAACUAAGACAAACACCUGUGUCAGGCAUGUGAGUUAUCACCAGAAAACCCAAAAACCAAACCCGUUGUUGUUGAGUCAGUUCCAACUCAUAGCAUUAUCACUACUAUUAUCCUGUUUAACCCUCAAAACAGUCCAGUGAGAUAGAUGAACCAUUUUGUAGUUGAGGCAGCUGGGGCUGGAAAGGGUAAAGUGACUUGCCCAUUUUGGCCGCAUUGUCCCUUUUGGAUUAGUCCUUUGAAUUGCAAGCGGAGCUGGUGAAAUAAGGAACGCUGGAAGAGAACUUAGGGUCUGUGGUCGGGAUGUUACGGGCCUUGCUACUAUACCGUUGUGUCCCUUUAUGAAGGCCCAAUGGAGAAAUUUCUCUCAGUCUCCAAAUUAGGCAGGGAAGGCGGUGGUUGUCUGGAACAACUGGUUUCUUUUCAUGUUAUGGGCACGAAGAAUCUUGUGGCUGAUCGUGUUUCCCUUUGGCUUUGGUUACUAAACACCUGAGAGCUAGAUUUGUGACCCAUCUCAACAGUUCUUUGGGAAGGAACCACGUGGUAUGUACUUCCACGUGCUAAUCUUACCCCGGCUUUUAUUAUUUUCCCUACAUUUAUUUUCUUCUGGCCUAAUUCUCUUGACCAUUUAAAUUAUUCUUUUGUGUCGUUUGUAUUAUUCUAAGCCACUGUUAAAUCCUUGGUGGAAUGGAGCUGGGUAUAACUAAAUUUAAAAGUAAUGGUAAGAUGAUUUGUGUAAGAUUCCCCCAGCUACAUGUAUGGAGACCAGGCUCCAAGCUCAGCCCUCCCGGCUUUGGGUCCACCCUCUUUCCACUAUACUACGUGCUUUAACAGAUUACAAUCCACCAGGUCCCUUCCCAGCGGGAGCCAGGGCCUAUUUGGCUCUUCCAGCCAUCGUUUUGUGGGUUCCAGAGGAAGCUGGGUUGGCUGAAUUGGAGGUCUUGAGUUGCCUGAAUUGAUCUGAAUGCCACACAUGUAGCUCAAGCAAAGCUCCGGGCUGCAGAUUCCUUCUUGCGGAGGGCCAGUCAGCCUUACCCAGGAGAGAGAUGGUGCCUCUAAUUCCUGGUCCCUGGUGCUUAAGAUUCAUAGGUGGGGACCAGACAAGAUGAGCACUGUAUGCUACUAGGAAACUGUGGUGGUGUAGCAGUUAAGUGCUACUGCUGCUAACCAAAAGGUUGGCAGUUCAUAUCCACCAGGAGCUCCUUGGAAAUUCUAUGGAGCAGUUCUACUCUGUCCUAUAGGGUCACUAUGAGUCAGAAUCGACUGGAUGGCAGCGGGUUUGUUUCUUUGUUUUUUUUGUAUGCUCCUUGCACCUACUUCCCAUUCAACACCCUCAUCACAACCCUGGGAGAGAGAAAGGGAGCAAGAGCAGGUGGUAUCAGGCCCAUUUUUUAUGGAUGAGGAAACUGAGGGUCAGAGAGGUUAAAUGAUGUCCCCCACCAGGGAAUGGCUGAGCCUGUACCCCAACAUAACACAUUGACUUCCUGGCUGUUCCCAGGCCAGAAGGCACCAAUGAGACCUCUCUGAACACUUCUGUGGGGCAGCAGGUAGCAUGGAGAGGGAGAAGAGCUUAGGAUUUGGGAGUUGGGUGACAUGAGGCUUGAGUCUUGGCCAGGAACUGUGUGCAUGUGGGUAAGUCAUUUCUGUGAGCCUCAGUGGCUUCAUCUUUAAAAUCAGAACUCAAUUCCUGCCCUGCAGCCUCACAGGGUUGUGGUGAGAAUUGAAUGAGAUGACGAAUAUGGGCGCAUCCGGUGUUAAGCACUGCUCCUAUAUGUUGUGCUCUCUGUAGUCAGCUUCUGCUGCUACUGAAAAUGCAAACAUUUAAGAACUAUUUACCACUGUAUCAGCCACUGCAGUCAAUGUUAUAUAGACUAUUUUAUUGAACACACAAGACAGGUGGACGAUGCAACAACAACAAAAACAAAUCCAUUGCUGUCGAGUUGAUUCCAACUCAUAGCAACCAUGUAGGACAGAGUAGAACUGCCCCAUAGGGUUUCCAAGGAGCGCUGGAGAAUUUGAACUGCUGGCCUUUGGAUUAGCAGUCAUAGCUUUUAACCGCUAUGCCACCAGGGUUUCCAAGUAGAUUUUUAGGGGCUAUUAUUAUUCCUUUUUUACAGAUGUGGAAAUGGAAGCUUAAAAAAGGUUAAGUAAUUUGCUCAAGGUCAUAGAGCUAUUAGGUGGUAGAGCCAAGAUUCGAACCCAGGUAGCUGACCUUACAGCUGUACUUAUCAGCACUAUGGAGCCCUGGUGGCUCAGCGGUUAAAGCACUUGGAUGUUAAUCAAAACAUUGGAGGUUUGAACCCACCAGCCACUCCGUGGGAAUAAGAUGUGGCAGUCUGUGUCCGUAAAGAUUUACAGCCUUGGAAACCCUCUGGGGCAGUUCUGCUCUGUCCUAUAGGAUCCCUAUGAGUCAGAAUUGACUUGACAGCAGUGUUUUUUUUAAAUCACCGCUAUCAUAUAGAAAGGAGCCCUGGUGGUGCAAUAGUUAAAUGUUGGGCUGCUAACCUAAAGGUCAGUAGUUCAUAUCCGGCAGCCACUCCUUGGAAACCCUAUGGGGGCAGCUCUACUCUAUCCUAUAGGGUUGCUACAAGUUGGAAUUGACUUAAUGGCAAUGGGUUGGGGUUUUUUUUUUUUUAGUCAUAUAGGAAACAGCAGACCCCUGGGACCUUCCUGGGUGAUGGCAUGUAUGCAUGUCAGUCUGGUAGGGGCAGUCAGGACCGUCUGGGGCAGGGAGUUGGAUGUGAAUGGACGUUAGUGCUGGAAGGGCAGUAGGGCCUGGGACUUGGCUGGAUAACAGCCUGGGGUGAGUGACCUCAUCCCUGAGCUUCAGGUUUUUCACCUGUAAGAUGGGCCUAUGGUAAUAGACCUUAUGGGGUUAAAUGAAAUAGGGUUGCAUACCAGUACCAGUACCAGGUGCUGUCAAGUUGACUACAACUUGUGGUGAACCCAUGUGUGUCACAGAGUAGAACUGUGCUCCAUAGGGUUUUCAGUGGCUGAUAUUUUGGAAGUAGAUCACCAGGCCUUUCUUUUGAGGUACCUCUGGGUAGACUUGACCUUCCAACCUUUCGGUUAGUUGCCAAGCAUGUUAACCAUUUGUACUACUCGGGGACCCCAUAGAUAACUAUGUAAGGUGUACAUUGGUAUAAAAAUGGCCAUAACAUAUGAGAGACAUUCCUCAGCCAUGCAGAGUAGAUGUAAACUAGCAGGAACAGCCACCUCUGCUUUUUAGAAUCAUCUUCCUUGCUGAGAUGGUUUGAGCACCCUGCUAUGUGGCAUUGGCUCAUCUCCGGGCUUGGAAACAGCACCUGAGUUGUAGCCACAGACCCUUGCUGUGCGUCAGUGUUCUCAUCUGCUAGGGAAUGCUACCUGCUGUCCUUCCUUGCAUGUGCCAUGUCUGUGAAAGUGUUCUGUUGGACACGGAAAGCACCUUGCAGAGGCCUGCCAGCUGCAGAGUGCCAGGUUGCAAGGAGGACGGGCAAGGGACAAAGGGGAGGACAUUUCAGUGUCAUGGUUUCUCAUAGAUCUUUGGACAGAGACACUGGGUUCAGCCCAAGGCACAGGCCUACCGAGAAGCAAAGAGUCAUAGGAGUGCCAAAGUGCUACCACUAACUCUUGGGAGGUUUUACUGUUUCAAAAGAACUCUAUAAACUGUAGAGCACUUUAGAAAUGUAAGUUAGUUCCUGUGCUGACAUGUGAUGAAAACAAAACUCACAAAAAAGUGAUGGAUCUGCCAGGCUGGGGUGUGGGAGAUGAAUAUAUAUGCUGUGUGUGGGUAUGAUUUAUUUCUGAUUAUAAAAAUCAGCUUAUUUAUGUGAAACUUGGAAAACAGAGAAAAGCAUAAAGCUGAAAAUAACAUUAUCUGUAAUUUACUAUCUAGCUACAUCAUUUUAUUUUUUUACUGUGCGUAUGUGUACAGGAUUUCUUAAUAACAUUUUACAUCCUGGAAAAUGUUCACUACUUCUUUCAACCAAGUCGUUGAGAGUCCAUUUUGCAAAGUCCUAGCGUGGUGCCAGGCACAAGGUACGGACCCAGGGAUGUUGCCGAUUGAAGAUGGGAUUGUGUGAGCUCUGCCAAGGUCGGGGGUUGGGGGCAGAGGGUGGCCAGGAGUGGCACAAAACCCUGGACCUGCCUUCUGAGAAUUGGGAAGAGUCUUAAAAGUAAAGCCCGUGGGAUGACAGACUGGGGUUACAGGAGCCAGAGGGGGACUUUUUCUUUCUUUCUUCCUCUCUCCUUCCCUCCCUCCUUUUCUUCCCUCCUUUCUUCUUUUUAGUCACUGUAAACCUUUUAAUAGGAGUCCUGGUGGUGCAGUGGUUAAGCACUUCGCUACUAACUGAAAGGCUGGCAGUUUGAACCCACCAUUCGCUCCUCCAGAGAAAGGUGUGGCAGUCUGCUUCUGUAAAGAUUUAUAGCCUUGGAAACCCUAUGGGGCAGUUCUGCUCUGUCCAAUAGGGUUGCUAUGAGUCGGAAUCCACUCGAUGGCAAUGGAUUUGGUUUUUUUGGGUUUAAACCUUUAUUGCAGCUCCUAAGUUCCUGCAUGAAUUGGUCCUUGAUUCUCUCCUACGUUGUCUCUCAGCCCUCUCCCUUUGAGUGGGGCACUUUUCAUUCUUCUGUUUAGGUUUUCUUUUCUUGUCAGGUACAAAUAAUAGGAAUACUUUUUUUUUUUUAAUUUCCGUAAAUAGCAGCUAAUUAACGAUAUAAAUGCAAUCCCUUUGGAGACUGGAAACAGGCACAGGAGAAACAGGUUAAGUGAGAACCUGAGAUCCUUUGUAAGUGCCAGUGACGGGGGAGGGGUGCCAGGGGCCCAAGCGAACAAAUCCCUCAUUCUAAACAGCCUUUCCUUAGACUUGAUGAGCUUCAGAUUUGAGUAAGUGACAGCCCCUUUUAUUUCCUGCUUUGUUCUCUCCCAGGUACAAAUUAAAUUGACCACAGCCUUCAUUCAUGCAAAUGGAAGCUGGCAGCUGCCCCAGGCAGGGUUAGAUACCUGGGAGGAUAAAGCUAGGCCUCUCUGGUUGGGGGGAGUCAAGUUACGUGUGUGUGUGUGUGUGUGUGUGUGUAUGCAUGCAGGCGCCUGUGCAGACCUCAGAGAGGCCUGCAUAAAGCUGUUAAUUCUGCCUUUCCAGGCUGCUCAAAUUUAAGUUGCUACCGUACAAUCUCUAUGUUCUUUUUUCUGCCUUUGGGACACCUUCUGGUUAAGAAAGGAGUCUCUGAGUGGUGCAAACCGUUAACUAACCCUGGUGUAAAUGGGUGCUAACCAAAAGGUUGGCAGUUCGAGUCCUCUGUAAGUGCCUCAGAAGAAAGGGCUGGUGAUCUCCUUUUCAAAAAACCAGCCAUUGGAGCUGAUGGGGCACAGUUCUACUCUGACACACUUGGGGUCAGAUGAGUCAGAAUGGACUCCAUGGUAACUGAUAGUUUUUUUCCUGUUGAGGAAUGUGGAGGUGGCAGGAGAGAGGCAGGCAUUUGGCCCUUAGGUGCACAACAGAGAAGGAUGCUUAAUGGUAAGGAAGCGUCCUUCCUAGUUCACCUCUCUUGCACAGGAUCCCGCUGGGCAGAUGCAUCGGGACAAGCCUGUCAUUAGACUAGAAUCUGCACCCAGCCCCACAAACAAAACACAAAAUACCUUUCUCUGAACCUGGCUUUGGGUUUUCUCUUGACAGGAGGAGUUAAUUGUGUUAGAACUGACUGAGGAGACUUCAGUCUGUGUUGAAUCCGUAAACUCUCAUUUGCCCAGAUCUAGAAAGUAGAACAUAAUGACCCCAGUGAAGGGGUGAAGAAAUGCUGAGAUGGACAUUUUGCCAGGGUCCCUGCAGUGUCUUAGGUGUUCCAGGGCAUGACCCUGAGGCUUCUCAACGAGCUGAGUUUGAUGAAGUUUCAUGGGGUUCUAGCCAGUAGUGAUCCAGAAGCAAUAAACCAAAAAACCCAAACCCGUUACCUUUGAGUCAAUUCCAACUCAUAACAACCCUGUUGGACAGAGUUGAACUACCCCGUAGGGUUUCCAAGGAGCGGCUGGUGGAUUUGAACAGGUGAUCUUUUGGUUAGCAGCUGAGCUCUUAACCACUGUACCACCAGGGCUCCCCAAAGGCAAUAAAUACUGCUUUUGGGGAGGCCUUCACCCCUGUCUCACUUGGCGAACGUUAAAUGUUAGCCAAAUGUCAGAACCCAUUAUGCAAAUGUAGAAACCAAUGAAUUUGAGUCAGUUACCCCUAGACUUGUAGCAUGAAAUAACCAUAGUUCGUGGUGGUGGUGGUAUGGAGAGUGGCGAUAUUCUUUGUUCCUUUGUUGUUAAGGGAAGGUCUCAUGUCUCCCCCACUCCCUCGAUUGGGGUGGCCCCUUUCCUUCUUGGGGUCAUUUAGAGCUCCCUGGGGUUAUGAGAACCCUUGUUCAGCUCACACUUUAGGGCUCGUAGCAGAGCUUGGUGCAGACUGGGUACAGAGCUAGGGUUGCUAUGAGCAGCUCAGUUACCCCAGGUGAGUCAGCAGCUGUGCAGGCACAGGUUUCAAACCCACUGAAAAUCAAGCUGCGUGUCGGGUCUACCGUUACCAGCCUCUAGUGUAGAGCUUCUGGAAGUAUGCUGACUGAGUUGGGUCUCAGUGCUGGGUGUCCCUAUACUUCUUCCUGCUCCUCCCUGGUGUGGACGUGUAAAUGAGCUACAAACAGGCUGCGUGGUCAAGCAAGAGAAGCAAUAAAGAAACGGGGUUGGACAAGUCACCUCUGAAUUAUCUGAAUUUUAUUUUGAGGGACAUGAGCCAGAGUGGGUAAAGAAAGAUCCCUAGAUAGAGAAAAAGAAAGAUCACCAAAAGGACAGCUGGCCACCAGUGAUUUUUUUUUUUUUUUUGAGAAAGGGCAAGGCAUUUUACUUUCUGUGGUAGGAGGGUAGGCUGGCCACAGCUCAGAACUGUGAAGAGAAGGUUGGGUUUUGUACGUGGGCCAUUUCUGGUAGUCAUUGUGGAAGCCCUAGGAUUUGGGGAAUCAGGGUAGGAAUGAAGCCAAAAUAGGUAUGCCAAAAGGACAGAUCCAUUGAGACUAGGUUGCAAAAUUUAGGCCACUGUUCAGAUUAACACGGCCUACACUCCCCUUACCCCAGCAUAUAACACCUGGAAAAAGAAAGCUGAUGAAGACUCUUUAGUGUGGGUCUAAUACAUUCAGCCUUUCGGUUCAAUCUAUUUCUUUUGCAUUUUUAUAGGACGUUGCAUUGCUUUUGCAGGAAAACUGGGUGCGUGUCUUCUGUGAAAUCAUUAUUUACAUAAUAUUCCUUUUCUUGACCAGAGGCAACAAGUGAUUCCUUUUGGCAAACUGCUUAAGAAUGGUGGGCACAGAGCAGACUGCAUGGGUUCAAACCCCUGCCUUGCCACUUACCUGCUGUGUGACCUUGGCUGUGUUACUUAGCCUCUCUGUGCCUCUGUUGCCUACUCUAUAAAAUGGGAAGAAUAAUAAAAGCUACUUGUAAGAUUGUUGUGGGAAUCAAGUAUGUUAAUCUAUGUGGAGGGCUUAGAGGAGUGCUGGGCACAUGGUUAAGUUUUAUUUAAACCCACUGCCUUCGAGUCCAUUUGGACUCAUAGAGACCCCAUAGGGUUUCCAAGGCUAUAAAUCUCUAAGGAAGCAGACUGCCAUAUCUUUUCUCUUGCAGAGCCACUGGUGGUUUGAAACCACCAACGUUUUGGUUAGCAGUCGAUCACUUUAACCACUGCACCACCAGGGCUCCUAGGUUGAUAUAAGUGCUGGUUAUAUAAAUAAUCGAGAUGCAUUGUACGGUAGUGAAAGGAGCACUGGUUUGGUGAGUCUAGAAACCUGGCUUCUGGCCCAAUUCUGAGAAACUGUAUGUGUCCUUGGGCCAGGCACUUUCCCUCUCUGGGCUUCCGAUUUCACACCUGUAAAAUGAAGAAAUUUGACUUAGCAGUGCUUUUUUUAGACUCCGUGUUAAGGGCUGGGGAUAAGGGGCAGCCCUAGUGCCGUUUGACAGAGGCUUCUAGACCUCCAUCCCCACUUCAGCAGAGCAGCUUGGGUUCAUUUCAUUUAUGGAUAGGGUUUCCAGAGUAAGAGUUGGUUUCGGAGAAAGAAAGCGUUCUCCUGCUUUUGCGUGUGUGUUAUAAACAACGAAGCGUACAAUUGGCUGAAUGAUAUGGCCUGAGGAUCCCUCACAGGGAAGGUGCAGGAGGGAAGUAGGUGAGCCAAGGGGAAGCCAGUGAAGAUAGGCCUGGUGGCUAUAGUGGGGCCUUGAGAGAGGAAUUUGAGGGGUCUGAGGUCACAUGCAAUGAGGUGGGCCUAAACAUGGGGUGGGGCAAAACCAACCAAUUGCUGUCAAGUCAAUUCCGACUUCUGGAAACCCCAUGUGUGUCAGAGUAGAACUCUGCUCCAUAGAGUUUUCGAUGCUGAUAUUUUGGAACCAGAUUACCAGGCCUUUCUUCCGAGGCAUCUCUGGGUGGACUUGAACCUCCAACGUUUCAGUUAGCAGCUGAGUGUGUUAACUGCGCCACCCAGGGACUCCCAUGGUGUGAGGUAGAGCAGUGGGAAAUGCUGUUAUCAAUUUUGUCCAAGUUAUAUGAGUUGAUUAACUUAAGAGGGAGGUAGAGAUGGCUUUGUGUGAUAGGUAUCAAGUUGCUUGUUUGGAUAAGGUGACUAGAGUUUGGAGGAGAAAUUAAGAAUGAAUAAAAUAACCCAUUGAAGAGGGGGGAAAAUGACUGUCUUAAAAGCAUAGGAAUUCAGUUUUAUUUUAACUUAAUAGUUCUUGCUGGAGGCUGCCUCAACUUGGACAAAACAGCUGUUGCCUGAGGGUCCCCGUUGGUAGCUAAUACUCUUACUUCUUCCUCCCUCUUUCCUUUUCUUUCCAUUCUAAUAAUCACAAGGACUUUCCAUGAUACCAGUGCCCAUUUGUACUUAGAGAAGAGAUUGUCUUGCCAAGUGGAAAACCCAUUCACAGGCUAAGUCUGUGCUUUCCAAACCGGACAUUUCCCUGGGUUUUAGGACUUGCUCACUCUUAUUGAAGUGAGUUCUAAUGUCUCCUACCAUUUCUUCAAUUGUAGUUUUAUUAGUUCCACAAUUUUUUUUUUUUUUUUUUUGGUGGGGGGACAGGGCUAAUGAUUGGUUAGGAGUCCCUGGGUGGGCUAAAUGUUUAAUGUCUUGGCUGCUAACUGAAAGGUUAUAAGUUUGAGUCUACCAAAGCACCUUGGAAGAAAGGCCCAACCAUCUACCACCAAAAACUCAGUCAUUGAAAAUCCUAUGGAGCAGAGUUCUACUCUGACACACAUGUGAUCUCCAUGAGUCGGAAUCUACUCAAUGGCAACUGGAUUGAAAUGAUUUGUCAAAACAGAGUUUUGAUUAUUUGAGCCCUGGUGGUGCAGUGGUUAAGUACUUGGCUGUUAGCCGAAAGGUCGACAGUUCAAAUCCACCAGCAGCUUUGCAGGAGUAAGAUGUGGCAGUCUGCUCCUGUAAAGAUUGUUGUUGUUAGGUGCUGUCGAAUUGGUUCAACUUAUAACCACCCUCUGUAGAACAGAACGAAACACUUCCCGGCCCUGGGCCAUCCUCACAGUCGUUAUUAUGCUCGAGGCCAUUGUUGUACCCACUGUGUCAAUCCAUCACAUUCGGGGUCUUCCUUUUUUUCAAUGACCCUCUACUUUACGAAGCAUGAUGUCCUUCUCCAGGGACUGAUCCCUCCUGAUAACAUGUCCAAAGUAUGCGAGACAUAGUCUCGCCAUCCUUGCCUCUAAGAAGCAUUCUUGUACUUCUUCCAAGACAGAUUUGUUCAUUCUUUUGGCAGUCCAUGGUAUCCAUGGUAUAGUCAGUGUUCUUCUCCAACACCACAAUGCAAAGGCAUCAGUUCUUCUUCUGUCUCCGGAUUCAUUGUCCAGCUUUUGCAUGCAUACGAGGCAACUGAAAACGCCAUGGCUUGGGUCAGGCGCACCCUAGUCUUCAAGGUGACGUCUUUACUUUUCUACCCUUUGAAGAGGUCCUUUGCAGCAGAUAUGCCUAAUGCAAUGCACAUUUGAUUUCCUGACUGCUGCUCCCAUGGGUGCUGAUUAUGGAUCCAAGUAAAAUGAAAUCCUUGACAACUUCAGUCUUUUCUCCGUUUAUCAUGAUGUUGCUCAUUGGUCCAGUUGUGAGGAUUUUUGUUUUCUUUAUGUUGAGAUAUUAUCUGUACUGAAGGCUGUAGUCUUUGAUCUUCAUCAGUAAGUGCUUCAAGUCCUCUUGACUUUAGCAGACAAGGUUGUGUCAUCUGCAUAACUCAAGUUUUCUUGGUAACCUUAUGGGGCAGCUCUGCUCUGUACUGUAGUGUUGCUGUGAGUUGGAAUUGACUUGACAGCAAUGGGUUUGGUUUUGUUUUGGUACCCUCCUAGGCCACCUCCCCAUCCAAAAAGCCUCUUUCAAAACCCAGCUCCAGUGUGCCUCGUCUAACAGGCCCCCCACCGGGACUCCAGCUCAUGCUCACAUCUUUCUAUACCACACCUACAGUUAGGGACUUCAUUAUUCCCUAGGUUUCAGUGUUUCACUCCCCAACUACACCGUUCACUGAAUUAGCACCAGAAGCUUGCAUGUAUCUCUUUUCUGUUUUUCUAUCCUGACUAGCCUUUUGUUUCUGUGCCUCUCUUACUUACUCACUCUAAUAUCAAAUCUGUGAACUAAGUUUCCUUGAAACUGUCACAGACAGCUGAUGCUAAUAGGAAUAAGAGCUGUGGACUGUGCUUCAGCCCUGUUCUGAAACCCUGUUCUGCCACUGCCUUUCCCAGCUGGUGAGCUGCACAUUUGGCUGUAGAAUGCAUGUGGAUUGCUAAGUUUCAUGCGUGAGCUGUGAUGUCAUUUCAUUCAUUCUGAGUGGCACCUACACCAGUGCUACCUGCAGCUUUGCCAGAUGGGGAUCCCUUCAUACUCAGCGGUAUUUCCUGAGCCCUGCAUAGAAGGCCUGACACAUGGUGGGUAAUCAGGAAAAGUCGAGUUUACAGAAGCCCCUUUGAGAGGCCAAGUUCUAUGGUCAUAGAAGGGAAAGUACAGGUGUAUUAAAUUUCUUCUGGGCUUCCUGCCCAGUUCCCUCUAGGGGCCUUCUGAUCGCUCUUCAGCAGUGCCAUCUGCCAGGGCCUGAGAGGCUAUGGGAAGGAGUGAGGUGAUGGGCUGUUGAUGCUGGGUCUUGUGGGUGUGCUGUGGGUUCUGAGUGAGGGGUUAGCACCUGGGCUGGAAGGAUCUGGAAUCUAGUGAGCCCGUAAAUCUAGGCUAACUGUGCUGGGUGGUGCUAACUCAGAGGUCUUUCGGGGUGUAUAGGUGACCUGGUGAAAGAUGAUAAAUGGGCCGUGGGCACUUUUUCUCAGUCUUGGAGGUUAAAAAGAGAGGAUGGUAACAGAAACAGGAGUUUUUACACUCUGCCUAAAGGGACAGCUGCCGAUCUGUUUUUGGUUGCCCUGCAGAAGUUUAGGCCCAGAAAUCCAGAAUUUUUUAUAAUUUAUUUUUUUAUCGUUAUUGAGAGUAUACACAGCAGAACAUACACCAAUUCAACAAUUUGUACGUGUACAUUUCAGUGACAUUGAUUAUAUUCUUCAAAUUGUGCAACCAUAGCUACCUUCCUUUUCUGAGUCGUUCCUCCACCAUUAACGUACACUCACUGUCCCCUAAGUUUCCUAUUUAAUCUUUUGAGUUGCUGUUAUCAGUUUGAUCCCGUAUGGAUAGAUCUUAAACGAGCACAAUGUUCAAGACAGACCUUCUUUACUAGUUAAACUAAACUAUUGUUUGGUUUUUAGAAAACUUCAAGGAAUAUUAUUGGUUUAAGGUUGAAAGGUUAUUUCAGGGGAGUAGUCUCGGGUUCAUCCAGCCUCCAUGGCUCCAGAAAGUCUGAAUUCCAUGAGAAUUUGAAAUUCUGUUCUUCAUGUUUCCUCUUUUGAUUAGGAUUCUUCUAUAGAAAAUCCAGAUUUCUUCAUACCACGUCUCCAAAUUUUUAAAUGCUGGCAACCAAUUCAACUAUACUAUCAUGCCUGCUGGCCUCUGAGGGGGAGGUAUGGCUGGUGAAUGCCAGAGGCCACCGGGGGACACACACAUGCCACAGGGUCAUAGUAGGUGGGUGGUUAGUUAUCAUCCAGAUGGUCAGGUACCAGGAUUGCUGCAGAUAUGGACAUAACAUGCAGAGCAGGCAGAGCAGAUGCCAAAAGUUGGCAUCAAGGAGGCUUUGAUGACGAAGGCCAAGUUCUUUGCCUACCAGAAAGCCUUCUGUUCCUUGUCUGCCUCCCUUUUCCACCUUCUAGGGCUUCCCACUGCCUGUAGUGUAAGUCUGAAUUACCCAGCCUGGCAUUUAAGGCCUCCUACUCCCUGUUUAUGUAGGAUACAAUAUAAAUGGUGCCUCUGCUUCAGUGUGUGGUCUCCAUGUCUUUCUUCAGAGUGAUACCCUCCCGAAUCCCUCUAGAUGUCCUUGCUGCAGCUGCCUCAGAUGGCCAGGUGUUCCUGGACAUGCCCACAAUUUCUUCCAGCCCUGGUUUUCCUCAUGCUGUUCUUCCUCCUGGAAUGCUUGCUCCCCUAGCUAGUGGAAAUCCCACUCCCCACUCACCCUUCAUGGCUGUGCACAAAAGCACAUUCUCCCUGAAGUCGGCUGCCCGCCUCACUCUGUAAAUUUGGAAUAAGUUGCAAUUUUCUCUCAACUUCCACAGCACUUUCCCACCAUCUCCCCACAGUCCUUGUGUCACAGGGGUUCAGAGUUCUGUCCUAAUAAAUGAUAAAGUCAUGGUGUGAGGGUUCAAAUCUUAGUCAUCACUAUAUCCCCUCAGUGCUUGGCUCAGGGUAAUAGUCAACAGAGAUUUAUUGAAUUAGACAUUCCUUGGUGCGGUGUAGGAACUGAUCCUCAAGAGAAAGCUGCUUAAAGUCUACAGUGAGCACAGGGAAGUUGUGUGGAACAGAGCAUGCGGGGAGCAGGUAAGGCUGAAUCUAGCUCCCCUUCAGCCUGAGGCAACACUGUACCUUAGACUUGGGAUGGCAUUGUCCUGCCUGUCUUCCUUGCUGUGGCGGUGAGCCCUGUGUGGGCCUGACUUGAUUACUGAGAUUUCAGGUCUGUCUUUGACAUCUGUAAGAAGCUGAAGGCAGAGUGUAGUGAUGGUGGAAACCAGUAACCAGUUGCUGUCAGGUUGGUUCUGACUCAUGGUGACCCCAGGUAUUGCAGAGUAGAACUACACUCCAUAGAAUAUUCAAGCUUUGACCUUUUUUUGGAAGCAAAUUGCCCAGCCUUUCUUCUAAGGCAUUCUGGGUGGGUUUCAGCACUUCGGUUAGUAGUUAAACGCUUAACCAUUUGUGCCACCCCAGGACUCCUAGUGGGCAGAAUAGUGUCUCUGAAAAAGAUGUAUCUCCAUCCUAACCCCUAGAGCUUUAAAAUAUGGCCUUAUUGGAAAAAAGAGUCUUUGCAGAUGUAAUGAAGUUAAGGAUCUUGAGAUGAGAUCAUCCUGGAUUAUCUGGGUGGGCCCUUAAUCCAAUGAGAAGUAUUCUUAAAAGAGACAUGCAGAAGAGAAGCACCCAGGGAGAAAGGGAAGGUCUUGUGGAGAUGGAGGCAGGGAUUGGAGCGAUGCAGCUAUAAGCCAAGGAAGGCCUGGAGCCACCAGAAGCUGGAAGAGGCAAGGAAGGACUCUUUCCCUAGAACCUUUGGAGGGAGCAUGGCUCUGCUGACAGACAUCUUGAUUGUGGACUCCUAGCCUCCAAGACUCUGAGAAGAUAAAUUUCUGUUGUUGUAAGCCAUCAAGUUUGCAGUAAUUUGUUUUGGCAGCCCCAGGAAAUGAACAUGAAGGGGCAGAACAGAACACACCCAGGUCCAUUCUUUUCCCAGCCAGGAUGGCUUCUCUCCAGAUGUACUUCCUCCUAUUCACCAAGGCUGCUCUUCUGUGGCUUCUUUGAGGUGGAAGGCUGUGGGGACAGCCUAGUUGUUGUCAGUCAAAGGUCCACCUACCAGGAGAACAAGAAGAGGCUAUGUGUUAUGGAGAGAACCCUGGUUCUGGAGUGUGGAGUGUGGAUUUCUAGUGGCAGGUUUGCCUUUGUUCAGUUGUGUGACUUUGGGUAACACUCAUAAACUCUGAGUUUAUUUCCUCACUUGGUUUAAGUGGUUGCUAAGAUCCUCUUGGGCCCUGACAUCCCGUGACUCAGUGUUUUGUGGACUGAGGAAGAACAUCUCAGAGGUUCAUGACCACCUUUGUCAUUCCCUGCCCACUACCACACACAAAAUACACACCCAUCCACCGCAGGGCUUAGAGUGGGAUGAUUUAGAGGAAAGGCUUUAUUUUUAAGGCCCUUUUUUUUAAGGAGCCUUGGUGGCAUGGUAGUUGAAGUGCUCGACUGCUAGCCAAAAGUUUGGUAGUUGGAACCCAUCAGCUGCUGUAUGGGAGAAAGAUGUGGCAGUCUGCGUCCGUAAAGAUUACAGCCUUGGAAGCCCUAUGGGGCAGCUCUAUUCUGUCCUGUAAGGUCACUAUGAGUUGGAAUCAACUGGACGACAGUGGGUUUCAGGUUUGAAGGCCCUUUUCAAGGUUUGAAACAGGAUUUCUUGACAAUGGCCAGAUUUGGAUUAACCUUGGAAUCCCCUUGAGGUAACAGCCGGAAAGGGCAGAGGGUGGGUAAAAUCCCACGAGUCAGAGUCCUCCCAUGUAGGAAUCAAGAGAUUUCACAUGAAAGACCAGAUUUUGAGGGUUUUUUUUUUUUUUUUUUUAUGAAGAACUGGAUGAUGGGCAACACUGGUCCACAUUCUUGGGAGCGGUGGGGGUCGGGGGUAGCACAAAGGGCAAGGAUGCGGGGAGGGGGGUUGGCACAGAGUGUUCCAUGAGCCACUCCCAGCUCCCUGGCCAUUGAGGCCAUUGCCACUCUUCAGCCCCAUUUCUCCACCACAGGAGAGAUGUUUCUCAGUGCCUGUGCCUCUAUUGAAAGCACAAAAUUGAAAGUGACCAAGAAGACCUUGGGUUUCAAGAAAAGUGUUGUUGUGUCUUGUGGAGUUGAUUCCAACUCAUAGCAACCCUAUAGGACAGAGCAGAACGGCCCUGGAGAGUUUCCGAGGCUGUAGUCUUUACGGGAUAGAUCACCAGGUCUUUUCUCCCACAGAGCCGCUAGUGGGUUCAAACUGCUGACCUUUUAGUUAGCAGCCAGCCAAGUGCUUAACCACUGUGCUACCAGGGCUCCUUCAAGAAAGGAAAGAGAGCAUAAUUACUCCACACUAGCAAAGAUGUUUCCUUUGUGUGUGUGUGUGUUUAAGGCAGCAUAUUUCUUUUUUCAUUAGAUAGACAUACUACAGAGCAUUUGACCAAUCUGCUGUUUUAUUUUUUUUUUUAAUUGUG